rnacentral:rRNA from 1 species
GGAAUUUUUCGCAAUGGGCGCAAGCCUGACGAAGCAACGCCGCGUAGAGGAUGAAGGCCCUCGCGGUCGUAAACUCUUGUCUAGCGGGACGAAACCUCUGCAGAUGAAUAAUCUGCAGAAUUACUGUACCGCUGGAGGAAGCUCCGGCCAACUCCGUGCCAGCAGCCGCGGUAAUACGGAGGGAGCAAGCGUUACUCGGAAUUACUGGGCGUAAAGGGCGCGUAGGCGUUCUUUCAAGUCUUGUGUGAAAGCCCCGUGCUUAACGCGGGAAGUGCACAAGAUACUGAAAGGAUAGAGUUCCGGAGAGGAAGAUGGAAUUCCCGGUGUAGCGGUGAAAUGCGUAGAUAUCUGGAGGAACACCGGUGGCGAAGGCGGCAUCCUGGACCCGUAUUGACGCUGAGGCGCGAAAGCCAGGGGAGCAAAC